UUACGGGAGGCAGCAGGUGGGGAAUAUUGCACAAUGGGCGCAAGCCUGAUGCAGCCAUGCCGCGUGUAUGAAGAAGGCCUUCGGGUUGUAAAGUACUUUCAGUCGUGAGGAAGGUGUUAAGGUUAAUAACCUUAGCAAUUGACGUUAGCGACAGAAGAAGCACCGGCUAACUCCGUGCCAGCAGCCGCGGUAAUACGGAGGGUGCGAGCGUUAAUCGGAAUUACUGGGCGUAAAGGGCACGCAGGCGGUUAAUUAAGUUGGAUGUGAAAUCCCCGGGCUUAACCUGGGAAUGGCAUUCAAGACUGGUUAGCUAGAGUCUUGUAGAGGGGGUAGAAUUCCAUGUGUAGCGGUGAAAUGCGUAGAGAUGUGGAGGAAUACCGGUGGCGAAGGCGGCCCCUGGACAAAGACUGACGCUCAUGUGCGAAAGCGUGGGGAGCAAACAGGGAUUAGAUACC
rnacentral:rRNA from 1 species